UGAAGAAGAGGUAAUAACCUCAUUAAUCUAGAAUAUGGGUAUCAACUCAUUACUUUGAAACCAUGAUCGCCCAAAUUCUAUUAAGCAAUCGUACUCUUGCACUUGCAAAAGCGUGCUCAUCGAUUCAACCCCAUAAAGCACAACUCUGGGAACGACGAAUUGCAGAGAUCAGCUCAGAUUAGGUUUAACCACGCCAUUCAGCCUAAAUCGAUUAAAUUGUGGUCUAAUUGAAGGCCCCUCAGUGUUUUAGAGAGAGAAUAGUUUUAGAGAUAGAAAGAGAGGGAUGGUGCGAACGACAGUUUUUAAACUU
rnacentral:lncRNA from 1 species